AUGGGAUCAGAAAAAAGAAUGAUGGGACCUCUAAUAAUUAUUCUACUGCUGGCAGAUGGAGUGAUGUCAGCAGAAAAUACAACUGCUGCACUUAAUGCUACAGUGACCGCAACUGCGGUCAACAUGACCUCACCAGGCGUUAACAUGACCACAAUGUCCACCAUGUCACCAUCAGAUGUACCUAUACCUGUCAAUGUAACAGACGCCCCAACUGGGUCAACUAAUGCCACAGCAGCCCCUACAGCAUUCAACAUGACCUCACCAGCAGUCAACAUGACCUCACCAGCAGUCAACAUGACCACAAUGUCCACAAGGUCACCUUCAGAAAAUACCACCUCUCCACUAGUGAAUGGAACAUCACCAAACAUCACAACUGGUUCUCUAGCGACAACCACAGCUGCUCCAGCACCAGACUCAGCGAUACAGCUGAGAUUUAGCCUGAUCGAAACUUUUCAACCAGAACUUGCCGAUACAACUACUCAAAAGUUCAAAGAUUUAGCAAACAGAGUAACAGCCGCACUUGAUAACAUCUAUAGAUCCAGAUUUGGGAAAGGAUUCCUUCGAUCUUUGAUACGCGCUUUCAGACAAGGUUCAGUGGUGGUAGACUCUGAGCUGAUUUUUGCCAAUGCCACCUCAGUGCCUGAAGUUAGUGCUGUGCAAACCUCUCUGGCGGAGGCAGCGUCCAAUAGCUCUAACUUCUCGCUGCCAGUGAAUGUGUCAACCAUUGUUGCAACGGCCCCAACUGGUGUCACCAAUGCCACAGCGGCCCCAACUGCAGCUCCUGUUGCUACAGAGGCCCCUGCAUCCACUGAUCCCCCAACAUCCAGUGAGGGAACCCUUCGCCUUCUGUUCAGUCUCAACCGAACAUUCACAUCCGACCUGUCAAACCGAUCCUCAGCAGCGUUUAAGACGUUGGCUGCUGAAGUCAUCCAAGAGAUUAACCGAGUGGCCAGGAUUAUCUAUGCAUCGUCUUUCAGACGCACCCUCAUUAACAAUUUCACGAGUGGAUCAGUAAAGGUUGACACCACACUUGUGUUCCAAGAUAAGAGCUCAGUUCCUCAAGCAAGCACUGCGACUGCACAAUUCAUCAGUUUGCUCUCCAAUUCUUCCCUCGGCAUCGUACCCGGCAGCAUUUCUGCACAGUCCACAUCAACUUCAGGCAGCCCCCCCCCAUGGCCACAAUGGGCUCACUGGCAGUCUUUUCACUUACACUGCUGGCUGUAGCACAGAUGCUAGUCACCCUGUAACAGACACUGAAG
ensembl:lncRNA